rnacentral:rRNA from 1 species
CGUGGAGACAGGUGGUGCAUGGCUGUCGUCAGCUCGUGUCGUGAGAUGUUGGGUUAAGUCCCGCAACGAGCGCAACCCUCACCCCUGGUUGCCACCGGGUAAAGCCGAGCACUCGAGGGGAACUGCCAGCGUCAAGCUGGAGGAAGGCGGGGAUGACGUCAAGUCAUCAUGCCCCUUACGCCCUGGGCUACACACGUGCUACAAUGGCCGGUACAAAGGGACGCGAGACCGCGAGGUGGAGCUAAUCCCAAAAAACCGGUCUAAGUUCAGAUUGCAGUCUGCAACUCGACUGCAUGAAGGAGGAAUCGCUAGUAAUCGCGCAUCAGCACGGCGCGGUGAAUACGUUCCCGGGCCUUGUACACACCGCCCGUCACACCACGAAAGCUGUCUGUACUCGAAGUCGCUGAG